UACGGAGGAUCCAAGCGUUAUCCGGAAUCAUUGGGUUUAAAGGGUCCGUAGGCGGUUUGGUAAGUCAGUGGUGAAAGCCCAUCGCUCGACGGUGGAACGGCCAUUGAUACUGCCAGACUUGAAUUAUUAGGAAGUAACUAGAAUAUGUAGUGUAGCGGUGAAAUGCUUAGAGAUUACAUGGAAUACCAAUUGCGAAGGCAGGUUACUACUAAUGGAUUGACGCUGAUGGACGAAAGCGUGGGUAGCGAACAGG
rnacentral:rRNA from 1 species